rnacentral:rRNA from 1 species
UACAGAGGUCUCAAGCGUUGUUCGGAUUCAUUGGGCGUAAAGGGUGCGUAGGCGGCGCGGUAAGUCGGGUGUGAAAUCUCGGAGCUUAACUCCGAAACUGCAUUCGAUACUGCCGUGCUUGAGGACUGGAGAGGAGACUGGAAUUUACGGUGUAGCGGUGAAAUGCGUAGAUAUCGUAAGGAAGACCAGUGGCGAAGGCGGGUCUCUGGGCAGUCACUGACGCUGAG